rnacentral:misc_RNA from 1 species
AAUGAAUAAGCCAAAUAAGUAAACCAUGAAGAAGCUAUAUCUAAAUACCAAAUUGUUCUAAAGAGUGAUGGAAAUGCAACACUCUAAGCAUUAAAUACGCACACAAAGGAAACAUCAAGGAGGAAAAAGGAGGAGAAAUAUGAAGUAGGGUAAAUGUUGACAACCCAUGUUACAAAAAUAUCAAAUAUUACCACAACCCACAAACUCUUAGUUAUAUAUCAAUUAGGAACUCACCAACUAGCCAGCAUGUGCACAAAACACACAGGAAAAUUUUCAAUAGGUAAAUAUUAUAGAAAUAACAUUGAAAUGGACAUAUAUAGACAUAUUUAGCACAUAAAGGAAAUUAAAAUGCCCAUAUUACAG